AUGUGGUUCAGUGGCGUUUCACGGGGUUUUUAUGGUCACCCGAAAUGGAAUGAACAUCAUCUACCUUGGAAUGAUAUUGAAAACCUACAUAGUAAGGGUAACCACCCCUGGGUAGUUUUGGGGAAUUUUAAUGAAAUUUUAUAUCCUUCGGAAAAAGAGGGCGGUAUGGCAAGACCACUUGGUAUGAUGAGAGAUUUCCGUGAAUGCCUAAUGGAUUGUGGGCUCGACGACCUAGGCUAUACCGGUGACCUUUUCACCUGGAGGAGAGGCGAAAUACGUGAGCGUCUUGAUCGGGCGGUCUGUAAUUUAGCGUGGGCAAAUAAAUUCACACGAGCGGCAGUGAUCAACGAAGAACAUGUUCAUUCUGACCACCGCCCAAUUGUACUGGACAUGGAUUAUUUGGAUAAAAAGGUCUUUAAUCAACCAGAGGGGCGUGUUAAACAACCUGAGGCAAGGUGGUUGAAGGAAGAGACAAUCACUGAAAUUGUUAAGGCAUCCUGGGAGAAAGCCAAGCUCGCAUGUAUUGGACCUUCACUUGCUGAUCGUACGAGAGCAGUGCAUGCCGAUCUGCAUACUUGGGAUCGGGAAAUUCUAAAGGGACCGAAGGUAAGAAUUAGGAAAUUAAAAAAAGAAUUAGAAAGAUUAAGGCAUGGCCCACUGAAUACAGAAUCUUGA
rnacentral:rRNA from 1 species